GAACGCUGGCGGCAUGCCUUACACAUGCAAGUCGAACGGUAGAGUAGCAAUACUCGAGAGUGGCGAACGGGUGAGUAAUAUAUCGGAACGUGCCCAGUCGUGGGGGAUAACGUAGAGAAAUUUACGCUAAUACCGCAUACGAUCUAAGGAUGAAAGCGGGGGAUCGCAAGACCUCGCGCGAUUGGAGCGGCUGAUAUCAGAUUAGGUUGUUGGUGAGGUAAAAGCUCACCAAGCCGACGAUCUGUAGCUGGUUUGAGAGAACGACCAGCCACACUGGGACUGAGACACGGCCCAGACUCCUACGGGAGGCAGCAGUGGGGAAUUUUGGACAAUGGGCGAAAGCCUGAUCCAGCAAUGCCGCGUGUGGGAAGAAGGC
rnacentral:rRNA from 1 species